UACGUAGGGUGCAAGCGUUGUCCGGAAUUAUUGGGCGUAAAGAGCUCGUAGGCGGCUUGUCGCGUCGGCUGUGAAAACUCGGGGCUCAACCCCGAGCCUGCAGUCGAUACGGGCAGACUAGAGUGCUGUAGGGGAGACUGGAAUUCCUGGUGUAGCGGUGAAAUGCGCAGAUAUCAGGAGGAACACCGGUGGCGAAGGCGGGUCUCUGGGCAGUAACUGACGCUGAGGAGCGAAAGCGUGGGGAGCGAACAGG
rnacentral:rRNA from 1 species